rnacentral:lncRNA from 1 species
GCUCCAAGUAUGUGUCCAACACAAGUUAGAAAAACAAAACAGAACAUGCCAUUUGCAAACUAGAUCAGUUCACUGAUGUGCUGACUCCUUGGGUAUUAGGCUUAGUUACACAAGACCAGUCACAGUAAAAAGAUACAUUUUAGAGUACAAAGAGUAGCAGGAUGUUAAGCCAUUUCAGUUUGUGCACAUACAAGUCACACUUCUGGCAGAAAACGCAGAGAAGUUUGAUUAUGCUGGAAGCUACGUUGCGUCACUUUAAAUGGCAUCAAUAUCAAUAUCAUCAUCUUUAUUGUUUGCAGGCUUCACAGUUUCAACUUUAGGUACACUGGCAGUUGUAGAGUAUACCACCUCUAUGUUUUCAUCUUCAUCCUCUUCUUCAUUUCCGGAAGAUUCUUCUUCAGCUUCCUUCAGCCAUUUAAUAAAUGGUUCUGCUUUGACACGAAUUUCUUUGCCAAGCUCCUUUGAAACAUAUUUCUUUGAGGCCUUUUCUGCCCAGCCAAGGAUGACUUCUUCUUCUAGAAGAUCUGCAUCAUACAUCUCCUUCAAAAUAUGUGGUAUUUUAGAAAUAAGCUGAGACUGAUGCAUAGCCACCACACACUCGAAGCCGUGGAGAAGGUACCUCUGAGCUUUCUUGUUAUUGUGGCAGAAACGAAGGAAGUGACGCCUGUAUUUCCUUAUCUGUUCACGAAUCUUUUCGUCAAAAAGGACUUCAGUCAGAACGAGAGGGCCCAUAGCCUUAACAUCCAGUCUCUCUGCUUCUGCUACGAUGUCCUUGUCAGAAGAAUCAAUGACACCUUCUUCCUUCUUUUUCUUCACAAAAUCAAAUAGUAUGUUGACUCUCUCUUCCACUGUUCUUUCCAAGUCUUCACUAAGUGUGAGGUUCUUUGCAUGGUCACUGAUUUCAUCCAUUCUACGCCUCUGGGCUUCUUCUGUUGUGUCUUCACCCCAGUCAUCAUCGUCCUCCUCCUCCACAACCUGUGGAGGAGUAAUCUCCUCUGGUGGUGGAGGUGGAGGUGUCUCAUUGCUGGACACAGAACCAUUUUCUUUGUCCUUGCCUUUUCUAUUUUUCUUCUCCUUUUCUUUUUUCCCUGUACCAGUGUCACCACUUUCAGGUGGGUUUUUGAGAAUGAAUGUGCAGAGUUUAUGGUUUGUGUCAAGCAUGCCUCGAUAGCCACAGGCUUUGCAAGAAUUACCUAUAGUUUGUUUCUUAGGAUUGACAUGCAGAUCAGUUUCAGGAUUCUCACACUCAGGACAGAGAACAAAUUUUUUAAUGAAUCCAUCCAACAUGUCUUGCAGCUUAUUCGCCUCAUGAGAUCCAUUGACAAUGUAACGGUCAUUCUUAACAUCAAACUGGGUCUGUGCUCCCAGCUCACAACCAAAAAAUUUGGUAGGAUACGUUGGAGGCCGAUUAAGCGCCUUUGCAACGUCAACCAUGUUGACUAUAACCGUCUUUAUUCCAUUUCCC